rnacentral:rRNA from 1 species
GGGUUGUGAGGUUAAGCGACUAAGCGUACACGGUGGAUGCCCUGGCAGUCAGAGGCGAUGAAGGACGUGCUAAUCUGCGAUAAGCGUCGGUAAGGUGAUAUGAACCGUUAUAACCGGCGAUUUCCGAAUGGGGAAACCCAGUGUGUUUCGACACACUAUCAUUAACUGAAUCCAUAGGUUAAUGAGGCGAACCGGGGGAACUGAAACAUCUAAGUACCCCGAGGAAAAGAAAUCAACCGAGAUUCCCCCAGUAGCGGCGAGCGAACGGGGAGCAGCCCAGAGCCUGAAUCAGUGUGUGUGUUAGUGGAAGCGUCUGGAAAGGCGCGCGAUACAGGGUGACAGCCCCGUACACAAAAAUGCACAUGCUGUGAGCUCGAUGAGUAGGGCGGGACACGUGGUAUCCUGUCUGAAUAUGGGGGGACCAUCCUCCAAGGCUAAAUACUCCUGACUGACCGAUAGUGAACCAGUACCGUGAGGGAAAGGCGAAAAGAACCCCGGCGAGGGGAGUGAAAAAGAACCUGAAACCGUGUACGUACAAGCAGUGGGAGCACGCUUCGGCGUGUGACUGCGUACCUUUUGUAUAAUGGGUCAGCGACUUAUAUUCUGUAGCAAGGUUAACCGAAUAGGGGAGCCGAAGGGAAACCGAGUCUUAACUGGGCGUUAAGUUGCAGGGUAUAGACCCGAAACCCGGUGAUCUAGCCAUGGGCAGGUUGAAGGUUGGGUAACACUAACUGGAGGACCGAACCGACUAAUGUUGAAAAAUUAGCGGAUGACUUGUGGCUGGGGGUGAAAGGCCAAUCAAACCGGGAGAUAGCUGGUUCUCCCCGAAAGCUAUUUAGGUAGCGCCUCGUGAAUUCAUCUCCGGGGGUAGAGCACUGUUUCGGCAAGGGGGUCAUCCCGACUUACCAACCCGAUGCAAACUGCGAAUACCGGAGAAUGUUAUCACGGGAGACACACGGCGGGUGCUAACGUCCGUCGUGAAGAGGGAAACAACCCAGACCGCCAGCUAAGGUCCCAAAGUCAUGGUUAAGUGGGAAACGAUGUGGGAAGGCCCAGACAGCCAGGAUGUUGGCUUAGAAGCAGCCAUCAUUUAAAGAAAGCGUAAUAGCUCACUGGUCGAGUCGGCCUGCGCGGAAGAUGUAACGGGGCUAAACCAUGCACCGAAGCUGCGGCAGCGACGCUGAUGCGUUGUUGGGUAGGGGAGCGUUCUGUAAGCCUGCGAAGGUGUGCUGUGAGGCAUGCUGGAGGUAUCAGAAGUGCGAAUGCUGACAUAAGUAACGAUAAAGCGGGUGAAAAGCCCGCUCGCCGGAAGACCAAGGGUUCCUGUCCAACGUUAAUCGGGGCAGGGUGAGUCGACCCCUAAGGCGAGGCCGAAAGGCGUAGUCGAUGGGAAACAGGUUAAUAUUCCUGUACUUGGUGUUACUGCGAAGGGGGGACGGAGAAGGCUAUGUUGGCCGGGCGACGGUUGUCCCGGUUUAAGCGUGUAGGCUGGUUUUCCAGGCAAAUCCGGAAAAUCAAGGCUGAGGCGUGAUGACGAGGCACUACGGUGCUGAAGCAACAAAUGCCCUGCUUCCAGGAAAAGCCUCUAAGCAUCAGGUAACAUCAAAUCGUACCCCAAACCGACACAGGUGGUCAGGUAGAGAAUACCAAGGCGCUUGAGAGAACUCGGGUGAAGGAACUAGGCAAAAUGGUGCCGUAACUUCGGGAGAAGGCACGCUGAUAUGUAGGUGAGGUCCCUCGCGGAUGGAGCUGAAAUCAGUCGAAGAUACCAGCUGGCUGCAACUGUUUAUUAAAAACACAGCACUGUGCAAACACGAAAGUGGACGUAUACGGUGUGACGCCUGCCCGGUGCCGGAAGGUUAAUUGAUGGGGUCAGCGCAAGCGAAGCUCUUGAUCGAAGCCCCGGUAAACGGCGGCCGUAACUAUAACGGUCCUAAGGUAGCGAAAUUCCUUGUCGGGUAAGUUCCGACCUGCACGAAUGGCGUAAUGAUGGCCAGGCUGUCUCCACCCGAGACUCAGUGAAAUUGAACUCGCUGUGAAGAUGCAGUGUACCCGCGGCAAGACGGAAAGACCCCGUGAACCUUUACUAUAGCUUGACACUGAACAUUGAGCCUUGAUGUGUAGGAUAGGUGGGAGGCUUAGAAGUGUGGACGCCAGUCUGCAUGGAGCCGACCUUGAAAUACCACCCUUUAAUGUUUGAUGUUCUAACGUUGACCCGUAAUCCGGGUUGCGGACAGUGUCUGGUGGGUAGUUUGACUGGGGCGGUCUCCUCCUAAAGAGUAACGGAGGAGCACGAAGGUUGGCUAAUCCUGGUCGGACAUCAGGAGGUUAGUGCAAUGGCAUAAGCCAGCUUGACUGCGAGCGUGACGGCGCGAGCAGGUGCGAAAGCAGGUCAUAGUGAUCCGGUGGUUCUGAAUGGAAGGGCCAUCGCUCAACGGAUAAAAGGUACUCCGGGGAUAACAGGCUGAUACCGCCCAAGAGUUCAUAUCGACGGCGGUGUUUGGCACCUCGAUGUCGGCUCAUCACAUCCUGGGGCUGAAGUAGGUCCCAAGGGUAUGGCUGUUCGCCAUUUAAAGUGGUACGCGAGCUGGGUUUAGAACGUCGUGAGACAGUUCGGUCCCUAUCUGCCGUGGGCGCUGGAGAACUGAGGGGGGCUGCUCCUAGUACGAGAGGACCGGAGUGGACGCAUCACUGGUGUUCGGGUUGUCAUGCCAAUGGCACUGCCCGGUAGCUAAAUGCGGAAGAGAUAAGUGCUGAAAGCAUCUAAGCACGAAACUUGCCCCGAGAUGAGUUCUCCCUGACUCCUUGAGAGUCCUGAAGGAACGUUGAAGACGACGACGUUGAUAGGCCGGGUGUGUAAGCGCAGCGAUGCGUUGAGCUAACCGGUACUAAUGAACCGUGAGGCUUAACCUUACAACGCCGAAG